GUGUGUUGUUCACGUCGCUUCGUAUCGAACCCUAAUAUGCAGAAAUCGCAGAAAUCGCUCCGUUUCGAUCUUGUCUCAACUGUGCAGCGCGCUGCUGUCGUUUUCCUUCUCGCACUUCUGGAUCUACUACCACUCAUAGAAUUUCCUGUUCCAGAAUAUCGAGAAUCUAUCCUCAGAUUCGGUUAAUUUCUGAACUUAUCACUUUCAGUUUUCUGGAUUUUUAUUUUCAUGUUUGAAAUACUGAUUGUGUAGAUUUUGUUGUUCAAUUAGUUCAUUCUUUUUUCAGUUGCUGAGAUGAUUAUAUGGCUUUAAGUCUAAAACAUGAGCAAUAGAAUAAUGUCUGUGAGUAAAGUAUAAAAUAUUGUGUUUUCUAAUUUACAUGUUGCUGAGAUGAUUAUAUUGGCUAUUUUAUGUGUUUUCUAAUUUACAUGUUUAACCUCAUUGAAUUUAAAAAUAUUGUGCACUUGUGCUUGCUUGUUUCUGUACUUUAUCUAGUAAAAACUGCUUAUAAUUUUUUCAUCAUUUUGCUCAAAACUUGCUUACAAGAAGCCCAUGACAAGUCAAGAUCUGUUACCAAGGCUCCUGCCAUGAAGGACAAAUGAGCUCUAUCAGCUGGCGUCUGUUGCCUUCUGCUUGCUUGUAGCCUGAUAAGGCCUUAGAGCUUGGAAUCAUAAACAGCCGCCAUGAAGCCUUCAUCUCUUCCAAACUUUGGUGCAACAAUGCUCACCAUGACCUUGUCCUUCCAGCUCUCAAGACCACACUCAAUUGCUCUUCAAAUUGAUUAGGAAACUUGGGUUGGACUAUUUAGACCUCUACUUGAUUCAUAUGCCAGUGAGGUUGAAACCUAAAGUUGAUGGAGUUCUUGAAAUAGGAAAGGAUGAUUUGCUUCCCUUUUGACAUAGAAGGACAUGGUGUCUAUAAAAUUUGUGUCUAAUUUGUUUAAAAGAUGAGGGAUAAAGGAGUAGAGCCCACCAUUUAUAUUUGAUUAUUUGUGUCAAAUAGUUAAAAAUUUAGACACAUUAGAACACACCAUUUUA